rnacentral:rRNA from 1 species
GUAAAGUUUUGUUUAAACCGAAAAAAUAUUGACUGACUUUAGAUUUUUCUUUGGAAUAUGUGUUAGGAGAGCCCUCCUUAUUUGUUUAAUUUUUUUUGGCACAUGUAUGAUUGUUUUGUUAUUAUGUUAUUUGUAAUGCUUUAAACUUUUUUUGUUUUAAAACAGAUAUAUAUUUGGCUUAUAGAUUUUUUUUGCAUGUAUUACUAUUGUUAAUUUUCUUUGGAUAUUUUUUUUAUUUUUUUUUGAAAUUGGAAAAGAAAGUAA